GUGAACGCUGGCGGUAGGCCUAACACAUGCAAGUCGAACGGCAGCACAGUAAGAGCUUGCUCUUACGGGUGGCGAGUGGCGGACGGGUGAGGAAUACAUCGGAAUCUACUUUUUCGUGGGGGAUAACGUAGGGAAACUUACGCUAAUACCGCAUACGACCUACGGGUGAAAGUAGGGGAUCUUCGGACCUUGCGCGAUUGAAUGAGCCGAUGUCGGAUUAGCUAGUUGGCGGGGUAAAGGCCCACCAAGGCGACGAUCCGUAGCUGGUCUGAGAGGAUGAUCAGCCACACUGGAACUGAGACACGGUCCAGACUCCUACGGGAGGCAGCAGUGGGGAAUAUUGGACAAUGGGCGCAAGCCUGAUCCAGCCAUACCGCGUGGGUGAAGAAGGCCUUCGGGUUGUAAAGCCCUUUUGUUGGGAAAGAAAAGCAGCAGGUUAAUACCCCGCUGUUCUGACGGGACCCAAAGAAUAAGCACCGGCUAACUUCGU
rnacentral:rRNA from 1 species